rnacentral:rRNA from 1 species
UACGAAGGGGGCUAGCGUUGCUCGGAAUCACUGGGCGUAAAGGGUGCGUAGGCGGGGCUUUAAGUCAGGGGUGAAAUCCUGGAGCUCAACUCCAGAACUGCCUUUGAUACUGAAGAUCUUGAGUCCGGGAGAGGUGAGUGGAACUGCGAGUGUAGAGGUGAAAUUCGUAGAUAUUCGCAAGAACACCAGUGGCGAAGGCGGCCCACUGGCCCGGUACUGACGCUGAGGCGCGAAAGCGUGGGGAGCAAACAGG